GUCCACGCCGUAAACUAUGAGUACUAGGUGUAGGAGGUAUCGACUCCUUCUGUGCCGCAGUUAACACAAUAAGUACUCCGCCUGGGAAGUACGAUCGCAAGAUUAAAACUCAAAGGAAUUGACGGGGGCCCGCACAAGCAGCGGAGCAUGUGGUUUAAUUCGAAGCAACGCGAAGAACCUUACCUAGACUUGACAUCCCCUGAAUUACUCGUAACGGAGGAAGCCCUUCGGGGCAGGGAGACAGGUGGUGCAUGGUUGUCGU
rnacentral:rRNA from 1 species